AUUGAACGCUGGCGGCAUGCCUAAUACAUGCAAGUCGAACGAGUGGCGGACGGGUGAGUAAUGUCUGGGAAACUGCCUGAUGGAGGGGGAUAACUAGUGGAACCGGUACCUAAUACCGCAUAACAUCAGCUGUUCUCAGAUGGGAUUAGCUUGUUGGUGGGGUAACGGCUCACCAAGGCGACGAUCCCUAGCUGGUCUGAGAGGGUGACCGGCCACACUGGAACUGAGACACGGUCCAGACUCCUACGGGAGGCAGCAGUAGGGAAUAUUGCGCAAUGGGCGCAAGCCUGAUGCAGCCAUGCCGCGUGUAUGAAGAAGGCCUUCGGGUUGUAAAGUACUGUCAGCGGGGAGGCGUUACCCGCAGAAGAAGCACCGGCUAACUCCGUGCCAGCAGCCGCGGUAAUUC
rnacentral:rRNA from 1 species